GGGAAUGAUGAUUUCUCAGACUAGAGUCUCUGACGCUGGUCUUGAUGUCAACAAUAAGUUCUGACUC